rnacentral:rRNA from 1 species
GGAUUGCCCCAGUAACGGCGAGUGAAGCGGCAACAGCUCAAAUUUGAAAUCUGGCCCCCCAGCGGGGUCCGAGUUGUAAUUUGAAGAGGAUGCUUCUGGCAAGGUGCCUUCCGAGUUCCCUGGAACGGGACGCCGCAGAGGGUGAGAGCCCCGUACGGUAGGACGCCGAGCCUCUGUGAAGCUCCUUCGACGAGUCGAGUAGUUUGGGAAUGCUGCUCAAAAUGGGAGGUAAACCCCUUCUAAAGCUAAAUACCGGCCAGAGACCGAUAGCGCACAAGUAGAGUGAUCGAAAGAUGAAAAGCACUUUGAAAAGAGAGUUAAAAAGCACGUGAAAUUGUUGAAAGGGAAGCGCUUGCGACCAGACUCGCGCCCGUCGGAUCAGCCGUCGCUCGCGGCGGUGCACUCCGGCGGGCUCGGGCCAGCAUCAGUUCGUUGGGGGGGAGAAAGGCGGCGGGAAUGUGGCUCUACGGAGUGUUAUAGCCCGCCGUGUAAUACCCCCUGGCGGACUGAGGACCGCGCGUAUGCAAGGAUGCUGGCGUAAUGGUCGUCAGCGACCCGUCUUGAAACACGGACCAAGGAGUCGUCCUAAUAUGCGAGUGUACGGGUGUCAAACCCCUGCGCGUAAUGAAAGUGAACGGAGGUGAGAGCUUCGGCGCAUCAUCGACCGAUCCUGAUGUUCUCGGAUGGAUUUGAGUAAGAGCAUAUUGGGCCGGACCCGAAAGAAGGUGAACUAUGCCUGUGUAGGGUAAAGCCAGAGGAACUCUGGUGGAGGCUCGCAGCGGUUCUGACGUGCAAAUCGAUCGUCAAACAUGGGCAUGGGGGCGAAAGACUAAUCGAACCUUCUA